AUCCACCCCCGCCUCCUUUCUUUCCCUCUCCUCCUCUCCCCUUCCAGAUCCGGCGGAGCUCCUCUCCAUCCUCACCGCAUUGACACCCCGACCCCCUCCCAUUCCUCUCGCGACGCAUCCACCGCAUCCGUCGUCUUCUCUCUCACGACGUUGCACCCUCCCCUUCCUUCUCCACACAAACCGAUCCAAGACUCGAAACAAUCGUCCUCUCCCCCCUCAUUCGAUCGACCCCGACCGGCCGCGGCGGCAAUGGAUCUCUUCGGCGGGGCUGGCGGCAGUGCGAUGCUGUCCGAGAUGUACCCGAGCGCGGGGCUGCUACAGGGCAGGAGAGAAGCAAAGCAGGGCAGGGGAGCCUCCACGGCCCAGCCGCCGCGACCUCCCACUAAAAAAUCCCCCACACCCCACCCUCGACGCCACUCCACCCCCUCCGCCGCGCCCGAGCCCGCAUGAGCCGGGCCGUCCCGUCGCAUCCAGAUCCCUCCGCCGCCGCCCCGUCCUCCUCUCCCCUCGCCUCCGCCACCCACCUCUCCCCUUGCCUCCGCCACCCACCUCCCCAUGGCGCGCCUCUUUCCCGUCCCAGAUCAGAUCCAGCACGCCCCCAACCGCAUCCACAGCCCACGCCACCGCGGCUCCCAAUCCCUCCCACGCAGCCGCCGCGGCUCCCAAUCCCUCCCACGCAGCCGCCGCCAAUGCCUCCUGGACAUCCACCUCGAAGGGACAACGACGGCGACUAGGAUGUCUUCCUCCCCCAGCGACGGCGACGUUCUUUGCCACCGCCGUGGUCGGGAUGCGGCGACCAGCAGAGGAACUCCUCCGGCAGAGGGGGAAUCCUCCCUUGCUUCCUUGUCCACCACGAACCACACACAGGCAGGGGAGGAGCCGCAGCGUCCAACCUCCACCGCCGCCCGAAGCCGGCAAAUCAUCUGACGCAGGCAGUUGAAGGGGCUAGGCCAUCGAGAGGCUGCAGGGCCAUGGACAUGCCAGAGAGGAGGACAUUCUUGGCCGAUGUAGAAGCUGCGGGAGAGGAGGGCUCUGACCUUGACGGAUGCCAUGCAAUGGAAGGUCGGCAAGGAAGCCAGUGGGACGGAGGCGACGAACUCUGCUGCAGCCACGGCCGGCUGUGCUUCUGCCUUCGUGGUGGCCUAGGACUUGUGAUUGUGGUGUUGUGCUUUGACCAGUGGCAUGAUUUACACACUAUGGCAAUGUUAGGUUUAGGGAAAUAUGUAUUGUUGCACCUGAUUGAACCAGUUGACCAGUACAUUGCAGCUAGAACAAGAAAUAACUAUUUCUUUGCUGCCUCCCAGCCUUUCUGUUGAUAUUUUUAACACGAUUUUCUGAUAAUUGGAAACCAGCAACAAUUGCACUAAAAAUAUUAUAGUGAAACCAUAUUAUAUCUGAAAUAGUAAACAGAUUGACACAUCCGGAAGCUUAAAGCUAGUCAUGCUUUUUCAUUCAACUUUUUCCAUUGCAACUUGCAAGAUAGUAAAAUUUAUCCUAAUGUGUCUUGAUAUUGUUCAGCAAUUUACAAUAGCUUGUAUUUAUUUAGUUAUUGUCAGAAUAUAGUAUUAGUUUAUUAAAUUCGAAAAAUAGUAAGUAAUGCUCAGCUUCUUGCUUCUCAACCUUAAUUUGUGUAAUUUGUUCUGGCCAAUAACUAGAGACAUGACUUGUCUAAGGAUUAGUUUAUUAACUAAAGACAUCAGGUCGGUGGAUAACUAGAUACUUGAUAGUAUUAGAUCUUAAGGUUGUAUCUAGUUAUCUAGUUAUUUCUUACUCCUUUUUAACUAGUUUAGUAAAAAGCUGACUUUUCAAUUGACUUUCAAUUUGUGUAUCUAGAUUAAUAUGUCGUCAAGUGGGAGGUCUUCUUUCGAGCUGAUAGUACUGCAGUCCUUGCAGUGCGUGGAUUGAUGACACGACAACACCACAAGAACAAUUUUUUGAGUUCUCUUUUUAUCUUCUAAGUGUUUGUUUGAUUAGACAGUGUCACUUUUUGUUCUUCGUCUGUUUCUAGUGGCUUAGCAAUCAUUCAGUGGCCGUCCCUUGUUUCAUGUAAUUUAGUAGAUUUAUUUCCACCAUGCACAUUUCUUUUACUGCAGAACUGAACAGUGUAUGGUCUGAGAGUUUCAGUUCUUGUUUGCCAUGCA